AGUGAACGCUGGCGGUAGGCCUAACACAUGCAAGUCGAACGGCAGCACAGUAAGAGCUUGCUCUUACGGGUGGCGAGUGGCGGACGGGUGAGGAAUACAUCGGAAUCUACUUUUUCGUGGGGGAUAACGUAGGGAAACUUACGCUAAUACCGCAUACGCCCUACGGGUGAAAGCAGGGGAUCUUCGGACCUUGCGCGAUUGAAUGAGCCGAUGUCGGAUUAGCUAGUUGGCGGGGUAAAGGCCCACCAAGGCGACGAUCCGUAGCUGGUCUGAGAGGAUGAUCAGCCACACUGGAACUGAGACACGGUCCAGACUACUACGGGAGGCAGCAGUGGGGAAUAGUGGACAAUGGGCGCAAGCCUGAUCCAGCCAUACCGCGUGGGUGAAGAAGGCCUUCGGGUUGUAAAGCCCUUUUGUUGGGAAAGAAAAGCAGCAGGUUAAUACCCCGCUGUUCUGACGGUACCCAAAGAAUAAGCACCGGCUAACUUCGUG
rnacentral:rRNA from 1 species